rnacentral:rRNA from 1 species
AAGCGGAGGAAAAGAAACCAACAGGGAUUGCCUCAGUAACGGCGAGUGAAGCGGCAACAGCUCAAAUUUGAAAUC